GCGGAAGGAUCAUUAUUGAAUGAACUUGGCGUGGUUGUCGCUGGCCCUCUCGGGGGUAUGUGCACGCCCGUCAUCUUUAUCUUUCCACCUGUGCACACUUUGUAGACUUGAAUAGUAUUUUCUGAGGCAACUCAGUCGGGAGGAUUGCUGGUAUUUAUCAGCUCUCCUUGCAUUAUUCAAGSCUAUGUUUUUCAUAYACCCCAAAAAUGUAACAGAAUGUAUCAUUGGGCCUUGUGCCUAUAAACUAUAUACAACUUUCAGCAACGGAUCUCUUGGCUCUCGCAUCGAUGAAGAACGCAGCGAAAUGCGAUAAGUAAUGUGAAUUGCAGAAUUCAGUGAAUCAUCGAAUCUUUGAACGCACCUUGCGCUCCUUGGUAUUCCGAGGAGCAUGCCUGUUUGAGUGUCAUUAAAUUCUCAACCUUAUCAAUUUUCACAAGUUGRUAAUGGCUUGGACUUGGGGGCUUUUUGCUGGCUUCGUCAAGAGGUCUGCUCCCCUUAAAUGUAUUAGCCGGUCCCCUUGUGGAGUCGUCUAUUGGUGUGAUAAUUAUCUACGCCGUGGGCCUUCACUUUAAAUGGGUUGUACUGCUUCUAACCGUCUGUUAAGUCAGACAAAUAAUGACAAUUUGACCUCAAA
rnacentral:rRNA from 1 species